rfam:Trichobilharzia regenti genome assembly, scaffold: TRE_scaffold0062860
AUCCAGAUGAGGAGUCCCAAAUAGGACGAAAUGUGCAUCCAUGAU